rnacentral:rRNA from 1 species
AUUGAACGCUGGCGGCAUGCCUUACACAUGCAAGUCGAACGGUAACGCGGGGCAACCUGGUGACGAGUGGCGAACGGGUGAGUAAUGUAUCGGAACGUGCCCAGUUGUGGGGGAUAACUGCUCGAAAGAGCAGCUAAUACCGCAUACGACCUGAGGGUGAAAGCGGGGGAUCGCAAGGCCUCGCGCAAUUGGAGCGGCCGAUAUCAGAUUAGGUAGUUGGUGAGGUAAAGGCUCACCAAGCCGACGAUCUGUAGCUGGUCUGAGAGGACGACCAGCCACACUGGGACUGAGACACGGCCCAGACUCCUACGGGAGGCAGCAGUGGGGAAUUUUGGACAAUGGACGCAAGUCUGAUCCAGCCAUGCCGCGUGCGGGAAGAAGGCCUUCGGGUUGUAAACCGCUUUUGUCAGGGAAGAAACGCUCUGGGUUAAUACCCCGGGGUAAUGACGGUACCUGAAGAAUAAGCACCGGCUAACUACGUGCCAGCCGCCGCAGUAAAAC